AGAAUGAACGCUGGCGGCGUGGUUAAGACAUGCAAGUCGAACGGUGUUUCAAAUGUAGCAAUACAUUUGAAACGCAGUGGCGAACGGGUGCGUAACACGUGAACAAUUUACCUUUUAGUGUGGAAUAGCUCGACGAAAGUCGGAUUAAUACCGCAUGUGGUUGUCUCUCUCCUGAGAGGCAUACUAAAGCCAGGGACCGCAAGGCCUGGCGCUAUUAGAGGAGUUCGCGGCCUAUCAGCUAGUUGGCGAGGUAACGGCUCACCAAGGCUAAGACGGGUAGC
rnacentral:rRNA from 1 species